ACUUAAUAAGGAUUUGUUACGCGCAAUAUGCCGACGACUUACUACUGGGAAUCGUGGGUGCCGUAGAGCUUCUCAUAGAAAUACAAAAACGUAUCGCCCACUUCCUACAAUCUGGUCUGAACCUUUAGGUAGGCUUUACAGGAACAACAACAAUAGCUGCACGGAUCAGAAUGACGUUC